AUCAUAUGAUAUCCAAAUUUUCGUUGAUUUAGUUCACUUUGAGAAUUUCUGUAGAGAAAACAUGUCUGAAUUUGAGUAAACUUGAUAGGAUUAAUGGAAUGUGAAUUUGAGAAAUUUUUUUGCAUAGAUCAGAGCAAUGAAAAUUUAUCCCUACUAAAAUUUCUGAUGAAUAAUCAUGAUUACCCCAAAUAUUGAAAAUUCAGGUGAUAAAAAAUUUCCUUUGUGGGUAAUGAAAGUCCAUGGUGAAUUUGAGUGGUAGGUUAUCAUAUGAUAUCCAAAUUUUUGAGCUUUUUUCUUCAUCUAUACUGACAGUGGUUGCCCUCCUACCAAAAUUGCAAAUUAAAAAUUCUGAUUAUCCAAAUUUUCGUUGAUUUAGUUCACUUUGAGAAUUUCUGUUGGGUAAACAUGUCUGAAUUUGAGUAAACUUGGUAGGACUAAUGGAAUGUGAAUUUGAGAAAAUUUUUUGCAUGGAUCAGAGCAAUGAAAAUUGAAAAUUGAUCCGAUGAUCCCUACUAAAAUUUCUGAUGAAUGAUCAUGAUAACACCAAAUAUUGGAAAUUCAGGUGAUAAAAAAUUUCCUUUGUGGGUAAUGAAAGUCCAUGGUGAAUUUGAGUGGUAGGUUAUCAUAUGAUAUCCAAAUUUUUGAGCUUUUUUCUUCAUCUAUACUCACAGUGGUUGCCCUCCUACCAAAAUUGCAAAUUAAAAAUUCUGAUUAUCCAAAUUUUCGUUGAUUUAAUAGUUCACUUUGAGAAUUUCUGUUGGGUAAACAUGUCUGAAUUUGAGUAAACUUGGUAUGUUUAAUGGAAUGUGAAUUUGAGAAAAAUUUUUGCAUAGAUCAGAGCAAUGAAAAUUUAUCCCUACUAAAAUUUCUGAUGAAUAAUCAUGAUUACCCCAAAUAUUGAAAAUUCAGGUGAUAAAAAAUUUCCUUUGUGGGUAAUGAAAGUUCCUUGGUGAAUUUGAGUGGUAGGUUAUCAUAUGAUAUCCAAAUUUUUGAGCUUUUUUCUUUAUCUAUACUGACAGUGGUUGCCCUCCUACCAAAAUUGCAAAUUAAAAAUCCUGAUUGUGAUUAUCCAUUAUCCAAAUUUUCAAUUUUCAUCAAUUUAGUUCACUUUGAGAAUUUCUGUAGAGAAAACAUGUCUGAAUUUGAGUAAACUUGGUACUGGUGAUUGGUGAAGGAGGCAUUGUAGUGCCGCCGUGAUCAAGCUCGCCCUGCAUCGAACUUUGACUAUAUAGAUAUACUACGUAUAUGGACUGCUAACCCUUAUCAAAGUGUAAAAUGUAAACAUAAAAGUCCACGCAACAAAAUCGACGGUUCUAGUCGAAGAUUACAUGCAAUUGUAUGCGAGGAUGACGCGAGGUGACGCGCGCAUCCAAGGUUCCGUACUGUGAGAGCCAAUGAGCAACGUUUUCAGGCAACGAACACCGCGUUUCAUUCGGACUUCCACGUUCCCCAGAGGGCGAUACCGUCGCGGUACGUGAUUGGCUAGUGAUAUUCUGUGCCUUCCUUGUUUACUUCUCAAAACGGGACUUUUUAUCACAAACUUCGGCGAUUUCAAAUUCGAUGUUAUAUUUCCAUUAUUUCACAUUGAAUAAAACUAAAUUUACGUAUAGAGAAUUGCUUUGCGAUCGUGCUAUCGAGUAAAUGUUGUGGUGAAUUAAAAUAACACUUGCAAAGAACUUUAAAUUCAUUUAAUCGUACAACUUUGUUUCAUCCUUCUAAGCUCACUAAAACACUGUAACUCGAGAGCACAGAAAUAUCAACAGCCAAUCAGAAUGCGCGACGGUAUCGCCCUCUGGGGAACGUGGAAGUCCGAAUUGAGUGGACUUUGAAAAUCUGGCUUACACGAUUUCUCCAUAUAACCAACGUUAAAUUGAUAAGAAUCAGCAGUCCAUAUACGUAGUAUAUCUAUAUAGUCAAUGGCAUCGAAUGUAAAUAUGUAAACAGAAGAUGAUCUGUGUUGCGAAAAGAAUAACGAGUUUUAAGAAUUUCCUACUGGGACACUUCUCGCAACGCUAAAAGGAAAUAAUAGGGAGGGGAAAGAACAGUCACUGACGAUAUAACGAAAACAGAAACGAUACCUUAAUUAAACUUUAUUGAAAAAUGAAAUAUGAAAUAUGAAAUAGAAAUAGAAAUAACAUCUAAUUUCUAAAAUAAUCUAACAUAUUUGUUUUCGAUUUAAACAUAAUUAAAUUCUAUCUCCAACGUCUGUCUCUGCCACCGCGAACACUGAUGUUUUUGUAUACUCCUUCUCGUCGUCGACGUACGUGCCGUCUACCCUCAAAAUACGGUAUUUAAUUCUCAGAAUGACCUAUAAAAAAAUAUGAGUUUUUCAGCAAAUUUGCUGGUGAGUCCCUACGCUACAAUUAAAAUUUAUAAGACUCGAGAGAGGAAUUCGUGAUGCCCAUUUUAGGUGUAAGUAACGAAUAAGAGACUUGGUCAAAUAAUUACGACACAACGAACCUCGUUUCUAAAUUUGAGGUCUACGAAAAUUUGAGACGAAUUUGAAUUUUUUGUUGAGAACGACUAAUUUGACGAAUAAGCGAAGAUGUGGUGCGAAUCAGAGAAACUACGAAAGAGAAUAAUCGACGAUCUAUUUACACUGAAGACUAUCGUAAUUCGACGUGAAUUUGUCGUAUAAAUACCCCUACCUAUUUAACCUAGUUUAGGCCGAUGUAGUGCAAACCUCAAAUAAAUAUUUACGAGUACCUAUUAA